CGAGCACGCGCGUGUGGCAUAUCAAUAAGCGGAGGAAAAGAAACUAACAAGGAUUCCCUUAGUAACGGCGAGUGAAGCGGGAAGAGCUCAAAUUUGAAAUCUUCAAGGUUCUACCUUGACGAAUUGUAGUUUAUAAGAAGUGUUUUCUGUUAGUGGAGUGGCUAAAAGUUCUUUGGAAUAGGACAUCAUAGAGGGUGAGAAUCCCGUAUUUGGUCAUUCCUCCUAGCUGUUGUGAUACACUUUCAACGAGUCGGAUUGUUUGGGAAUGCAGUCCAAAAUGGGUGGUAAAUUUCAUCUAAAGCUAAAUAUUGGCGAGAGACCGAUAGCGAACAAGUACCGUGAGGGAAAGAUGAAAAGAACUUUGAAAAGAGAGUUAAACAGUACGUGAAAUUGUCAAAAGGGAAGCGUUUGACACCAGUGUUGUUUUUCCGAAAAUCAAUUACGAAUGUUUUAUUUUUGAGGAGUUAUGACUUCAUCGGCUUGCUCCUUUCUUUAUGAAACUUUCUUAAUGCACUUUUCGGUUAACAAGUCAACAUCAAUUUCUUUUGUUGUAAAAGGGUAUGAGGAAGGUGGCUUUCUUUUCGGAGAAAGUGUUUAUAGCCUUGUGCCUCUGCAAUCGGAGAGAUUGAGGUCUGCAGCGUAGAUCCUUCGGGGUUAGAUACGUUUGUGCUAAGUUAUAGCUUUUCAUAGACAACUUGUUGACUAUGUUUAGUCUUGUAGCUUACUCGCUUACGCUAUUUUACCUACGCUUAGGAUGUUGAGCGCAUGUCUCUCUCU
rnacentral:rRNA from 1 species